UACGUAGGGUGCGAGCGUUACUCGGAAUUACUGGGCGUAAAGCGUGCGCAGGCGGUUCUCCAAGUCCGUUGUGAAAGCCCCGGGCUCAACCUGGGAAUGGCAGUGGAAACUAGGGGACUGGAAUCUGGCAGAGGGGGGUGGAAUGCCGCGUGUAGCAGUGAAAUGCGUAGAGAUGUGGAGGAAUACCGAUGGCGAAGGCAGCCUCCUGGGCCAACACUGACGCUCAUGCACGAAAGCGUGGGGAGCAAACAGG
rnacentral:rRNA from 1 species